GGCGACUGUGGCUCAGUGGGAAGAGUAGUUGUCUUGAAAUCCAAAAGUUGUGGGUUUGAUUCCAACAUUUUUUGCCA